rnacentral:hammerhead_ribozyme from 1 species
GCAUUUCUGAGGAGUCCCAUAACAGGACGAAAGUGCAGUCCAAUAC